UACGAAGGGGGCUAGCGUUGCUCGGAAUCACUGGGCGUAAAGGGUGCGUAGGCGGGUCUUUAAGUCAGGGGGGAAAUCCUGGAGCUCAACUCCAGAACUGCCUUUGAUACUGAAGAUCUUGAGUUCGGGAGAGGUGAGUGGAACUGCGAGUGUAGAGGUGAAAUUCGUAGAUAUUCACAAGAACACCAGUGGCGAAGGCGGCUCACUGGCCCGAUACUGACGCUGAGGCACGAAAUCGUGGGGAGCAAACAGG
rnacentral:rRNA from 1 species